GACGAACGCUGGCGGCGUGCCUAAUACAUGCAAGUCGAACGCAGUGGGGACGGGUGAGUAACAAGUGGGUAACCUCCCAUCAGAGGGGAUAACACUUGGAAACAGGUGCUAAACCGAUACUGAUGGAUGGACCCGCGGUGCAUUCGCUAGUUGGUCAGGUAACGGCGCACCAAGGCCACGAUGCAUAGCCGACCUGAGAGGGUGAGCGGCCGCACUGGGACUGAGACACGGCCCAGACGCCUACGUGAGGCAGCAGUGGGGAAGCUUCGGCAAUGGACGAAAGUCUGACCGAGCAACGCCGCUUGAGUGAAGAAGUUUUUCGGAUCGUAAACCUCUGUUGUUAGAGAAGCGGUAUCUAACCAGAAAGCCACGGCUAACUACGUGCCAGCAGCCGCGGUAAUUC
rnacentral:rRNA from 1 species